rnacentral:ncRNA from 1 species
ACACCCGUGAAAACGCCCUUCCAUCCUUAUAAGGAUAAGGAGCUGAUAUCAGGCACAAUCAAUAGCCCAAAACAUCUAGCUAAGCCACACCCACAAGGGCCCUCAGCAGUGACCAACAUUAAAAAUAAACGUCAGUUUGAUUUAGUCAGUGAAAAUAGAGCAGGCCAAUCUGGUGCCAGCCGCCGCGGUUAUACCACAAGGCUCAAAUUGACCUCCAUCCGGCGUAAAGCGUGAUUAAAGAGAAUUAAAUUAUUAGGGCUAAACUUAAACUAAGCCGUAAAACAUCUGCUCUUAAGAAAACCAUACCUCGAAAGAUGCCCCAAUCCUACCAACUUGAAUUCACGAUAACUAGGACACAAACUGGGAUUAGAUACCCCACUAUGCCUAGUCGUAAACUUUAACUUACCCCACCAUCGCCUGGGAACUACGAGCAAAAGCUUAAAACCCAAAGGACUUGACGGUACCCCACAUCCCCCUAGAGGAGCCUGUCCUAUAAUCGAUACCCCACGUUUAACCUCACCAUUUUUAGCCUUUCAGCCUGUAUACUUCCGUCACCAGCUUACCGCAUGAGCGAUUAAGUAAGCUUAAUGUUUUACCAACAAUACGUCAGGUCAAAGUGCAGCAAAUAAUAUGGAAAGAGAUGGGCUACACUUUUUAAUAUAAAAAAAACGAAAAGCUAAAUGAAAUCAUAGCAAGAAGGUGGAUUUAGUAGUAAGAGGAAAUAGCAUAUUCCUUUUAAUUUGGCACUGGGGUGUGUACACACCGCCCGUCACCCUCUUCAAUAUUACCCCUUCAGUUUAUAACAACUCAUCACCCCUAAGAAGAGGCAAGUCGUAACAUGGUAAGCAUAUCGGAAGAUGUGCUUGGAAA